ACUAAUCAUAUUUUAGUCUCCCCAAAUUGACAUCACCUCUCCCACAUUCUACCACUCACCUACACACUAGAGGCAAUUUACAGAGUCUAAUUAACCAACACUUCUUUGGGAAGUGGGAGGAAACUGGAGCACCCAGAGGAAAACUAUGUGGUUACGGGGAGAACAUGCAAAUUCCACAUGCAUAGUCAGGAUUGAACCUGGGGUUCUGGCGCUGUAAGGCAGCAGCUGUACCGCUGCGCCACUUUGCCACCCGAUGCUGAUGUCCCAUUUUCUUUAUCUAUGGGACAGUAUCAUUUCUUUUUAAGCAAUCCCUUGAGGUGACUUGCUUCCAUUCUUCCAUGAAAUUGUUCUAUUGUGCGAGUUUUUGGGAGACUGAUGAGGCCAAUGUGGAGCCCACAGACUCUACCACGAGAGUGGUUGAUGGAUAGUGUGGGAGGUACUGCUCUCUAUCCCCUGUUUCUACCAGACUACUGUGUUCUCUUGACAAAUUAACUCUUGGUCCUCCACACCAAUUUUAUUUCCAAACAGCGACUUCCAUUUGAAUGCUUUAACCUUUCUGCUUGAUCCAUUGAAUGGCUUCACAACGAAAACCUUCUUAAAGUUCAUUUGAGCUACAUCAGACAUAUUUCUCACUCCUCAUUACCACCUCAAAGAAAUCAGACUUUUAUUUUUUUUUAGUUUAGUUUAGAGGUACAGCACGGAAACAGGCCCUUCGGCCCACCGAGUCCGCACAGGCCUGCAAUCCCCACACACUAACACUAUCCGACACACACUAGGGACAAUUUACAAUUUUACCAAGCCAAUUAGCCCACAAACCUGUACGUCUUUGGAGUGUGGGAAGAAACCAGAGUACCUUGGGGAAAACCCACGCAGGUUACGGGGAGAACGUACAAAUUCUAUACAGAUACUGCCAGUAGUCAGGUUUCAACUCGGGUCUCUGGCACUGUAAGUUCUAGGACCAGAAUUAAGCCAUUUGACCCAUCAAGCCUACUCUGCCAUUCAAUCAUGGCUGAUCUAUCUUUCCUUCUCAACCACACUCUCCUGCCUUCUCCCCAUCAAAGAUCCUAUAGCGAACAAGAUAGUCCACUCGACAAAAAAAACCUAGUACGGUCAUGGGCAGAUUCAUAGGUAAGUUAAGGCCACAUUUCCGUAACCGAUUUCUGUCUCCCCACCAAAGAUCCCAUAGGAUAAUAGUGCGGAGAUGGAAGCCGGUUACGGAAACAUCCUCGUAAAAAUAAAAGUUACUAGGUAAAAAUCUUCUCCUCAUUUUCAGAAUUUUAAUUUAUUAUCACAAAGCGAUUGUCAUGUUGCUCACCUCUUAUACAUGGGGGUAAUUUUAUAGCAGACAAACAACUUACCUGCAUAUACCUGGGGCCCCUGAGAAGCCCAUGUGGCCAAAGAGAGAGGGUUAAAACUACACACAAACUGACUAAGCUCAGGGUUCAGCCCAGGUCACUGUCCUAAAGUAUUAUAUCACUCUGCUGCUACAAGAUACAGGAAACUCCAGGUGUUGGUUUACAAAAAAGAGACGCAAGGUGCUGGAGUGGCUCGGACCGGUGGGUUAGGCAGGAUCUCUGGAGAAUGUGGAUAGGUGACAUUUCAGACUGGUUAGUCUGCAGAAGGGUGUCGACACGAAAAUGUCACAUAACGACAUUCUCCAGACAUGCUGCAGUUCCUUCCCACACAUUUUGUCUGCUGAAAUCUCUGCAAAAUCUCCUAAAGGUAUGCAUAAUACCUGCAUACCUAGGUAUUGUCAAAUCUCCUGAAGGUAUGCUUACUUUGAAGAACUGCUCCUCCACACUCUGACAGGAGUUCUUCAACACCCUCUCUCACUGUUUAAUUAACCCCCACGCCCACCGCUAUUUUCAGUCUGAAGAAGGGUUCCGACCAGUGACUUCUAUCCAGAGAUGCUGCCUGUCUCGCUGAGUUACUCCAGCGUUAUGUGACUAACACUGCAUCCUCCUAUUAUUCAGGUCUAAAUACUAUCUCCAGGCAACACAAGAUUAGUAUUGCUUUUUCUCUACACUGUAGGGUGUUUUUCACAGUUCAAAUGCUGACAGCAUGAAUAUUUCACACUUUGAACAGUUACUCAGCAACUGAAAGUUCAAACGUGAUUUGUUUUGGUUAAAACUAUUCCCAUUUUGACAGUAGAUGAAUGAUAUUCUGAUGAUCAUUGUAAACAGGUUGGAAAUGGACCAUUCACGGUACAUUGGUACAUUAGCCUACAUAUUCUUGUGUAAUGUGUGAUCAGGGUAGAUAUGAAUAGCCAAAUGUGCAAUGGUCAAAAUUCACAAUUUCAAAUUAUGUUAUUCCAAGGUUGAAAAAUAGUGCCAUUUGUAACAUGCUUAUUUUGUUGGAUGCACCUGAAUUUCAAACCUUCAUUCGUCAUAGGAGCAGAAAUGGGCCAUUUGGCCCUUCGAGUCUACUCUGUCAUUUGAUCAGGCUGACCUCUCUUUCCCUCUCAACCCAUUCUCGCCACAACACUUCACACCCUUACCAAUCAAAUAUCCGUCAAUCUCUGCCUUAAAAAUAUCCAAUAAUUUGUAAGAUGAUCAGUACCUGCUUGGAAUGUUUUACAGGAGAAGCAGAGCUUCAUGCCAUAGGUCGAAGCAAUGUAAUUGUCUGAUCACCUGGUCAAACUCGCAGAACUGGGUCUCUGCGCAUCCCUCUGCAAUUGGAUCCUCGACUUCCUCAUUCACAGACCACAGUCUGUUCGUAUUGGUGGAAAUGUGUCAGCCUCAAUAACAAUCAGCACGGGAGCACCUCAAGGCUGCGUGCUCAGCCCCCUGCUGUGCUCACUCUAUACUCAUGACUGCAUAGCCGGUCAUAGUGCGAACUCCAUCAUCAAGUUUGCUGUCGAUACCACUGUUGUGGGACGUAUCACUGAUGGGGACGAGUCAGAGUACAGAAGUGAGAUCGAACGACUGAGAAUAACCUGGCCAGCACAAUAACCUGGCCCUCAACACCAGCAAAACCAAGGAACUGAUUGUGAACUUUGGAAGGGGGAGGAUGGGGACCCACAGUCCCGUUUAUAUCAAUAGGUCGAUGAUGGAAAGGGUCAAGAGCUUCAAAUUCCUGGGCAUGCAUAUCUCUGAAGAUCUUUCCUGGUCCGAGAACAUUGAUGCAAUUAUAAAAAAAACACAUCAGCGCCUCCGCUUCCUGAGAAGAUUACGGAGAGUCGCUUUGUCAAGGAGGACUCUCUCUAACUUCUACAGGUACACAGUAGAGAGCAUGCUGACCAGUUGCAUCGUGGCUUGGUUCGGAAACUUGAGCGCCCAGGAGUGGAAAAGACUACAAAAAGUGGUAAACACUGCCCAGUCCAUCAUUGGCUCUGACCUCCCGUCCAUCGAGGGGAUCUAUCGCAGUAGCUGCCUCAAAAAGGCUGGCAGUAUCAUCAAGGACCCACACCAUCCGGGCCACACACUCAUCUCCCCACUACCUUCAGGUAGAAGGUACAGGAGCCUGAAGACUGCAAAGACCAGAUGGAUUUACAGUGAGCUGUGCGAAGUUGCAAUGGCCAACAGACCCGUUGGUGGAAUAGUUCACAUGUAUGCACUCUCAUCCCAAGGCAGGGUAAGCUGUUAUAUUUAAUACUUUACUGCUGGUGAUGUGGCUGCUUCUGGAUGUCUUAGUCCACUGAGUUAUUCAUUGGCAGGUCCGAUGGAUCAAACAUUGUUGCUCUAUUGAAUAUAGACACAAAAUGAUGGAGUUACUCAGCGGGUCAGGCAGCAUCUCUGGAGAAAAGGACUAGGUGACGUUUUGGACCGAGACCCUUCUUCAGACUGAUACAUUGGUGUGCUAAAUCCAUUGUAUGUCAAUCACAUCUUCAUUGGCCAGAUGCCUAUAUCCGGCAUCACGAGUGACUUUAGACUUUAGAGAUACAGCAUGGAAACAGGCCCUUCGGCCCACCAAUUCCGUGCUAACUAGUGAUUAACCUGUGCACUGCCAUCAUCCUCCACACUAGGGACAUUUACAAUUUACAGGAUCUAAUUUAUCUACAAACUUGUACGUCUUUGGAGAGUGGGAGGAACGCUAUCUCCAUGUUUCUAACUUUAAGCUUCAAUUGUGCAAAGAGAAACUACCAUUUCCAAUGAUAUCAUCGAGAAUUUGCCUCACUCUCUGUCAAUAACUUUUCACAUUGCGUUUACACAUACAUCGACAGAAGUAUUACUCAGUUUUAUCCCCUCUCCAUUGUUCCUUUCUGACUAAUUUCCCA